AGGGCCGCGGUAAUUUGACCGUGCGAAGGUAGCAUAAUCAUUAGUUUUUUAAUUGGAAGCUUGUAUGAAAGGUCGGAUGAGGGGUAAGCUGUCUCUUUGUAAAUUUUGAAAUUUAACUUUUAAGUGAAAAGGCUUAAAUUUCCUAAGGUGACGAUAAGACCCUAUAAAACUUUAUAUGGUUAUUUUCAUUUUAAGAAUUUGUAAUUUAAUUGUAAAGGUGUCAUAUUUUGUUGGGGAGACAUAGAUAUAAUAAUAACUGUCUAUAUAAAUAAAAUAAGUAUAAGAAGCUCGUGAUCCUUUAUUGGAGAUUAUAAGAUUAAGUUACUUUAGGGAUAACAGCGUGAUUUUCUUUGAGAGUUCUUAUCGACGGGAAUAGUUGCGACCUCGAUGUUGAAUUAAAAUUUCCUUGGGGUGUAGCAGCUCUUAAGGUGGGUCUGUUCGACCUUUAAAAUUUU
rnacentral:rRNA from 1 species